rnacentral:rRNA from 1 species
GCCCUAGUAACGGCGAGUGAAGCGGCAACAGCUCAAAUUUGAAAUCUGGCCUUCGGGUCCGAGUUGUAAUUUGUAGAGGAUGCUUUUGGUGAGGUGCCUUCCGAGUUCCCUGGAACGGGACGCCAUAGAGGGUGAGAGCCCCGUCUGGUUGGACACCGAUCCUCUGUAAAGCUCCUUCGACGAGUCGAGUAGUUUGGGAAUGCUGCUCUAAAUGGGAGGUAUAUGUCUUCUAAAGCUAAAUAUUGGCCAGAGACCGAUAGCGCACAAGUAGAGUGAUCGAAAGAUGAAAAGCACUUUGAAAAGAGAGUUAAAAAGUACGUGAAAUUGUUGAAAGGGAAGCGCUCAUGACCAGACUUGGGCUUGGUUGAUCAUCCAGGGUUCUCCCUGGUGCACUCUUCCAGUUCAGGCCAGCAUCAGUUCGCUGUGGGGGAUAAAGGCUUUGGGAAUGUGGCUCCCUCGGGAGUGUUAUAGCCCAUUGUGUAAUACCCUGUGGUGGACUGAGGUUCGCGCAUUCGCAAGGAUGCUGGCGUAAUGGUCAUCAGCGACCCGUCUUGAAACACGGACCAAGGAGUCGUCUUCGUAUGCGAGUGUUCGGGUGUUAAACCCCUACGCGUAAUGAAAGUGAACGCAGGUGAGAGCUUCGGCGCAUCAUCGACCGAUCCUGAUGUUCUCGGAUGGAUUUGAGUAAGAGCAUACGGGGCCGGACCCGAAAGAAGGUGAACUAUGCCUGUAUAGGGUGAAGCCAGAGGAAACUCUGGUGGAGGCUCGCAGCGGUUCUGACGUGCAAAUCGAUCGUCAAAUAUGGGCAUGGGGGCGAAAGACUAA